GACGUAGGGAGCGAGCGUUGUCCGGAUUCAUUGGGCGUAAAGCGCGCGUAGGCGGUUUGGUAAGUCGGAUGUGAAAUCCCGAGGCUCAACCUCGUGACUGCAUCCGAUACUGCCCGACUAGAGGUAGGUAGGGGAGAUCGGAAUUCCUGGUGUAGCGGUGAAAUGCGCAGAUAUCAGGAGGAACACCGGUGGCGAAGGCGGCAUCCUGGACCGGCAUUGACGCUGAGGCGCGAAAGCCAGGGGAGCAAACGGG
rnacentral:rRNA from 1 species